rnacentral:rRNA from 1 species
AUUGAACGCUGGCGGCAUGCCUUACACAUGCAAGUCGAACGGCAGCACGGGAGCAAUCCUGGUGGCGAGUGGCGAACGGGUGAGUAAUAUAUCGGAACGUGCCCAGUCGUGGGGGAUAACGCAGCGAAAGCUGUGCUAAUACCGCAUACGAUCUACGGAUGAAAGCGGGGGAUCGCAAGACCUCGCGCGAUUGGAGCGGCCGAUAUCAGAUUAGCUAGUUGGUGAGGUAAAGGCUCACCAAGGCGACGAUCUGUAGCUGGUCUGAGAGGACGACCAGCCACACUGGAACUGGGACACGGUCCAGACUCCUACGGGAGGCAGCAGUGGGGAAUUUUGGACAAUGGGCGCAGGCCUGAUCCAGCAAUGCCGCGUGCAGGAUGAAGGCCUUCGGGUUGUAAACUGCUUUUGUACGGAACGAAACGGCGAGCUCUAAUACAGUUUGCUAAUGACGGUACCGUAAGAAUAAGCACCGGCUAACUACGUGCCAGCAGCCGCGGUAAAAC